UGCGGAGAUUUCUCUUCCCUGCGCCUUCGAUCUUGCAAUGCGAAGCGCGCGGGCCUGCGUUUGUGAGGCAUCUGGUCGAAAUAUCUUAGAUCCUUUGGAAAAUCUUCUAGGUCGUGUGAUUUCUCUGUGAUUCUUGGGGCGCAUUGUGAGAAACUCGCCCUGUGACGGCGUAUUUUUGCGAGAAUUCUUUCCUGGUGUGUCGCAGUGGAAUUCUAGAGAGGUUGUACUGUGGAGUGUGGAGCUUAUACUAGUGUAAGAAAGAUAAAAGAGGGAGCUCACGAGGAGAAUGUGAAUUAAAGUAGCAUCGUCUUGUGACUGAU